rnacentral:rRNA from 1 species
ACUCCUACGGGAGGCAGCAGUGGGGAAUAUUGCACAAUGGGCGCAAGCCUGAUGCAGCCAUGCCGCGUGUGUGAAGAAGGCCUUCGGGUUGUAAAGCACUUUCAGUUGUGAGGAAGGUGGUGUCGUUAAUAGCGGCAUCAUUUGACGUUAGCAACAGAAGAAGCACCGGCUAACUCCGUGCCAGCAGCCGCGGUAAUACGGAGGGUGCGAGCGUUAAUCGGAAUUACUGGGCGUAAAGCGCAUGCAGGUGGUUUGUUAAGUCAGAUGUGAAAGCCCGGGGCUCAACCUCGGAACUGCAUUUGAAACUGGCAGACUAGAGUACUGUAGAGGGGGGUAGAAUUUCAGGUGUAGCGGUGAAAUGCGUAGAGAUCUGAAGGAAUACCGGUGGCGAAGGCGGCCCCCCUGGACAGAUACUGACACUCAGAUGCGAAAGCGUGGGGAGCAAACAGGAUUAGAUACCCUGGUAGCACAGAG